GGACUGCCGGUGACAAACCGGAGGAAGGUGGGGAUGACGUCAAGUCCUCAUGGCCCUUAUGGUGGGCUACACACGUCAUACAAUGGCCGGUACAGAGGGUAGCCAACCCGCGAGGGGGAGCCAAUCCCACAAAGCCGGUCGUAGUCCGGAUCGCAGUCUGCAACUCGACUGCGUGAAGUCGGAAUCGCUAGUAAUCGUGGAUCAGAAUGUCACGGUGAAUACGUUCCCGGGUCUU
rnacentral:rRNA from 1 species